rnacentral:sRNA from 1 species
UAAAUUUGUCACAACAAGAGUCGCAGAUUUAACAUAGUCGAGCAAAAAGACGGAGUGACAAUAUUAUAAAUAA